AGCAGAUAGCAAGGUUGGGAGGGGGGGACGAUAGCGAGGUGAGGAAGGUGGAGAUAUAUAUAUACAAUCCCUAGCAGUGGCAUACAGGCGGGAUCCAAUAGCUAAAAUGCAACCCAGAGCAGAGGCAUACAGGCGGGACCCAAUAGCUGAAAUUCAACCUCCAGCAGAGGGUAACAGGUGGGACCCAAUAGCUGGAAUUCACCCUCCAACAGAGGCAUACAGGCGGGACCCAAUAGCUGAAAUUCAACCUCCAGCAGAGGGUAACAGGUGGGACCCAAUAGCUGGAAUUCACCCUCCAGCAGAGGCAUACAGGCGGGACCCAAUAGCUGAAAGUCAACCUCCAGCAUGCAUAAGAGAAUCAUUCCGGCCUAAUAUUAAUAUUUCUAACCCUGUAUUUUGCAGGCCAAGUGGCAGGAAGCAGAGGAGAGAGCAGCCAAACUUGAGGAGCUGUUGAAGGAGGACCAAGAUGCUGAGACCGAAGAGGAAUCGGAAAGAUAAGAUUAGCUUCUGAGCACGUGGGAUACCUCCAGCAUCAUUUUCCCGAGAACGUCGUGUCAAACGUCAAGAGGAUGUCGUAGAACGUCGGGUCAAACGUCAAGAGAACGUUAUACCAACGUCGAGAGACGUCUCAACAGCAACUCAAUGCUUGAUAAUACUGAUCUCUAUAGCUCCGAGGUGCUCCCAGCGAUAUGUUUACUAAUUGUAUUUUAGCUCCUAUGAUAUAUCUAUAUAUGAUAUAUCACUAUAUCACCCCUUGAUAUAGUGAUCCCCUUUGCUCCAGUGGCCAUACUAUCCGAAAACAACGUCAAAUCUACGUUAAGUCAACGUCGAUAACGUUGAAUUCGAGCUCCAAACAACGCUACUCUUGGGUAUUAUGCCCACGGGAAUUAUUGUUGUUUUUUCUCACUAUUCAUAGGUUUGGGCACGACUGUUGACAUCAUCUUAGUGUUAAUUGAAUUAAUCGUUUAUUGCUUAUUAACUAAUUGUUUAGUUUAAUAAGUUUAGUUAUAUAGAUACAUAUAUAUAUAUAUAUAUAUAUAUAUAUAUAUAUAUAUAUAUAUAUAUAUAUAUAUAUAUAUAUAUAUAUAUAUAUAUAUAUAUAUAUAUAUAUAUAUAUAUAUAUAUAUAUAUAUAUAUAUAUAUAAAUGUGUGUGUUUGUGUCUGUGUAUGGUAAGGUGAGAUGCUCUAUUUGUGAUUUUUUAUGUAAAAUGCAGUUAUUUACUGUAGAUUUUUUAUCUACAACUUGAACAGUCAUUUUGAGGAUAGUCAGGAACAAAUGUGUAAAUCUUUUAUCAAUGUGUCUGAUAUAAAUCUACCAGCUAUAAAUUUAUAUGUUGUUAGUCUAUCUGCUAUCUAUCUACCUACUAACUGGCAGCUUCAUGACUAUAUCAGCACCAAAAAAAAAAAAUUCAUGUACCAUUGAGCUCUUGAGUAUAAUAAUAUAUUAUAUAAUAUAACCCAUUAAAUAAUGAGCCUCUAUAAUAGAUAUAAAACAAUUAUAAUUUGUUUUUUUUCACUAAAGAAGGUUGUGUUCCUAUUGCAUGUUAUUAAACUUUGAUAAAUAACAUUUUUAA
rnacentral:lncRNA from 1 species